UACGUAGGGUGCAAGCGUUAAUCGGAAUUACUGGGCGUAAAGCGUGCGCAGGCGGUUCUAUAAGACAGAUGUGAAAUCCCCGGGCUCAACCUGGGAACUGCAUUUGUGACUGUAGAGCUGGAGUACGGCAGAGGGGGAUGGAAUUCCGCGUGUAGCAGUGAAAUGCGUAGAUAUGCGGAGGAACACCGAUGGCGAAGGCAAUCCCCUGGGCCUGUACUGACGCUCAUGCACGAAAGCGUGGGGAACAAACAGG
rnacentral:rRNA from 1 species